GACAGAGGGUGCAAACGUUGUUCGGAAUUACUGGGCGUAAAGCGAGUGUAGGCGGUCCUAUAAGUCGGGUGUGAAAGCCCUGGGCUCAACCCAGGAAGUGCACUCGAAACUGUGGGCUAGAGUAUCGGAGAGGUUGGUGGAAUUCUCGGUGUAGAGGUGAAAUUCGUAGAUAUCGAGAGGAACACCGGUGGCGAAGGCGGCCAACUGGACGAAUACUGACGCUGAGACUCGAAAGCGUGGGGAGCAAACAGG
rnacentral:rRNA from 1 species